UGCAAGUCGAACGGGGUCCACCGAGUAGCAAUACGAGGGAAGACCUAGUGGCGAACGGGUGCGUAACACGUGAGAAACCAACCCCGGUCUUUGGGAUAACAGGCGGAAACGCCUGCUAAUACCGAAUAACGUCGUUUCCUCGCAUGGGGAGAUGACGAAAGGGCUACCGGAUCGGGACGGUCUCGCGGCCUAUCAGCUUGUUGGGGAGGUAACGGCUCACCAAGGCAUCGACGGGUAGCUGGUCUGAGAGGAUGAUCAGCCACACUGGGACUGAGACACGGCCCAGACUCCUACGGGAGGCAGCAGUGGGGAAUCUUGCGCAAUGGGCGAAAGCCUGACGCAGCAACGCCGCGUGCGGGAUGAAGGCCUUCGGGUUGUAAACCGCUUUUAACAGGAACGAAAAUGACGGUACCUGCAGAAUAAGGUGCGGCCAACUACGUGCCAGCAGCCGCGGUGACACGUAGGCACCAAGCGUUGUCCGGAUUUAUUGGGCGUAAAGAGCUCGUAGGCGGUUCAGGUAGUCGGGUGUGAAAACUCUGGGCUCAACCCAGAGACGCCACCCGAUACUCCUGUGACUAGAGUUCGGUAGGGGAGCGGGGAAUUCCUAGUGUAGCGGUGAAAUGCGCAGAUAUUAGGAGGAACACCGGUGGCGAAGGCGCCGCUCUGGGCCGAUACUGACGCUGAGGAGCGAAAGCGUGGG
rnacentral:rRNA from 1 species